AAUGACAUUGCCAAUCACAAGUUUGGUAAUUAAAGGUUUACCGCUUAAGGAUGAGUCCGCGUCCCAUUAGCUAGUUGGUAGGGUAAUGGCCUACCAAGGCAACGAUGGGUAGCUGGUCUGAGAGGAUGAUCAGUCACACUGGAACUGGAACACGGUCCAGACUCCUACGGGAGGCAGCAGUGGGGAAUAUUGCACAAUGGGGGAAACCCUGAUGCAGCGACGCCGCGUGGGUGAGGAAGGUUUUAGGAUCGUAAAGCCCUGUCAAGUGGGAAGAAACAAAUGACGGUACCACUAAAGAAGCACCGCUAACU
rnacentral:rRNA from 1 species